AUUGGCCAAGUUCUGAGCGAACGGAUUAAGAGCUUGCUCUUUUGAAGUUAGCGGCGGACGGGUGAGUAACACGUGGGUAACCUGCCCAUAAGACUGGGAUAACUCCGGGAAACCGGGGCUAAUACCGGAUAACAUUUUGAACCGCAUGGUUCGAAAUUGAAAGGCGGCUUCCGCUGUCACUUACGGAUGGACCCCCGUCCCAUUAGCUAGUUGGUGAGGUAACGGCCCCCCCAGGCAACUAUGCAUACCAGACCAGAGAGGGUGAUCGGCCACACUGGGACUGAGACACGGCCCAAACUCCUACGGGAGGCAGCAGUAGGGAAUCUUCCGCAAUGGACGAAAGUCUGACGGAGCAACGCCGCGUGAGUGAUGAAGGCUUUCGGGUCGUAAAACU
rnacentral:rRNA from 1 species